GCUUAUCUUGCGCAGCUUAGGUGGGAGGCUAUGAACCUUUUCUUCUGGGAAGAGGGGAGCCAUCAGUGAGAUACCACUCUUGGUAAGCUAGAGCGCUCAGUCUUCACCGUCAUCCGGUAAGACGACAGUUUCAGGCGGGCAGUUUGACUGGGGCAGCCACCUCCCAAAAGGUAAUGGAGGUGUGCAAAGGUUCCCUCAGGCUGGACGGAAAUCAGCCAUAGAGUGUAAAAGCAUAAGGGAGCUUGACUGCGAGACUGACAUGUCAAGCAGAGACGAAAGUCGGCUUUAGUGAUCCGACGGUGCUGUGUGGAAAGGCCGUCGCUCAACGGAUAAAAGUUACUCUAGGGAUAAC
rnacentral:rRNA from 1 species